AAGGGAGACCUAAUUCCGGUAGGAGACGAAAAAAAAGUAGUCCCUACCAAGAAUCAAUCCCAAAAGGUCGAAGCGAGGCAAGAUUGGCUUUCAAACUAGGUUCUGGGUUCAAACAAGACCUGAAUCAGGAACAAGGGCUAUUAGCUCAGGUGGUUAGAGCGCACCCCUGAUAAGGGUGAGGUCCCUGGCUCGAGUCCAGGAUGGCCCACCUGCACAGGUGGCAAAAACAAAGAAGCGAGGAAUCAGCACCUUAUCUUACUCAUAUAGUAAGAGAGAAUGCUGGCUCUGAGUAAAGAGUCCAGAGGAACCUUGAAAACUGCAUAGAGCUAGGUGAAAAAGCCAAAAAAGAAGACCGCAA
rnacentral:tRNA from 1 species